AGUCAUAUGCUUGUCUCAAAGAUUAAGCCAUGCAUGUCUAAGUACAAGCCAAAUUAAGGUGAAACCGCGAAAGGCUCAUUAAAUCAGUUAUGGUUCCUUAGAUCGUACCCACACUUACUUGGAUAACUGUGGUAAUUCUAGAGCUAAUACAUGCAAAUAGAGCUCCGACCGGAGACGGAAGGAGUGCUUUUAUUAGAUCAAAACCAAUCGGCGACGGGUCAAACCGUUGUCGUAAUAUUUGGUGACUCUGAAUAACUUUUGCUGAUCGCACGGUCUAGCACCGGCGACGCAUCUUUCAAAUGUCUGCCUUAUCAACUGUCGAUGGUAGGUUCUGCGCCUACCAUGGUUGUAACGGGUAACGGGGAAUCAGGGUUCGAUUCCGGAGAGGGAGCCUGAGAAACGGCUACCACAUCCAAGGAAGGCAGCAGGCGCGCAAAUUACCCACUCCCGGCACGGGGAGGUAGUGACGAAAAAUAACGAUACGGGACUCAUCCGAGGCCCCGUAAUCGGAAUGAGAACACUUUAAAACCUUUAACAAAAAUCAAUUGGAGGGCAAGUCUGGUGCCAGCAGCCGCGGUAAUUCCAGCUCCAAUAGCGUAU
rnacentral:rRNA from 1 species